UUUCUAGAAGAAGUUAUGGGCAUUUGAGUAAGUGAAGGUCUAGCUGACGACAACUUGCAGAUUGAAAUUGAAAAGCAGACAAAGAUGACAAAGAAGAGCAUAAAGCAUAAAAUCAUGAUGAAUGAUUAAGGCUGCCCUUUGGUUUUGUCUGAAAGGUAACAAAUACAGCAAAGCACAGGUUGGCAAUGGAAGAAAAGUCAAAUAAAGAAAUAAAUAAAAACAGCAAGUAGAUGGGGGCAUGGGGGGUUUAAGGACACGGAAGCGCAGAAAAAAAAAGGACAGCAGAAAAUUUAGUGAGAGAGACUGACGAGGAGCAGAAACGAGAGAAGAAUCAGCAAGUUGCCUUGCGCAGCGUGAGUCUCGGAGAGGAGAGAUAGGCAGAGAGAGAUUGACAGAGGCUGACGGAAGCACGGCAGCAGUAGCACAGAAGCAGAGGCUUCACUCAAUCUUUCGGUUAAAUCUUUCCAAAUUUAUAUUUUAUUUCUGUUUUAAUAAUGUGUAACUAAAUUUAUUUUGGCUAGAGGUUAAUUCAAAGCCAUGAAUAUAUCUGUAAUAUGAAUUGAUUACCUUCAGUUGUGAUUUCUGAGUUGUGAUUUAAUUUGCUUAACUGCUUGA
rnacentral:lncRNA from 1 species